AUUGAACGCUGGCGGCAGGCCUAACACAUGCAAGUCGAACGAGUGGCGGACGGGUGAGUAAUGUCUGGGAAACUGCCUGAUGGAGGGGGAUAAAUACUGGAAACGGUAGCUAAUACCGCAUACCAUCAGAUGUGCCCAGAUGGGAUUAGCUGGUGGGUGGGGUAACGGCACACCAAGGCGACGAUCCCUAGCUGGUCUGAGAGGAUGACCAGCCACACGGGAACUGAGACACGGUCCAGAAUCCGACGGGAGGCAGCAGUGGGGAAUAUUGCACAAUGGGCGCAAGUCUGAUGCAGCCAUGCCGCGUGUGUGAAGAAGGCCUUCGGUUUGUAAAGUACUUUCAGCGGGGAGGCGUUACCCACAGAAUAAGCACCGGCUAACUCCGUGCCAGCAGCCGCGGUAAUAC
rnacentral:rRNA from 1 species